GCACUACUGACGAGUCUCAAAAUAAGACGAAACAGCUGUCCAGUGA
rnacentral:hammerhead_ribozyme from 1 species